rnacentral:ncRNA from 1 species
CUUUCUUUUUUGCAUUGUCCGUCGUCGCUUCCAUGAUGUCGUUGCCUACAGCCUCAUGGCCUGCCGUUGCCUAAAGGUGCAUCAUCGACCGAUCUGAAUGGUUUCCUGAAAGAUUUGAGUAAGAGCACAUAUGUUGGGACCCGAAAGAUGGUGAACUAUGCCUGAAUAGGGUGAAGUCUGAAGAAAUUCAGAUGGAAGCUCGUAGCGAUUCUGACGUGCAAAUCGAUCGUCAAAUUUGGGUAUAGGGGCGAAAGACUAAUCGAACUAUCUAGUAGCUGGUUCCCUCCGAAGUUUCCCUCAGGAU